CGAACGGGUGAGUAACACGUGGGCAAUCUGCCCUGCACUCUGGGACAAGCCCUGGAAACGGGGUCUAAUACCGGAUAAUACCUUCCCUCGCAUGGGGGUGGGUUCAAAGCUCCGGCGGUGCAGGAUGAGCCCGCGGCCUAUCAGCUUGUUGGUGAGGUAGUGGCUCACCAAGGCGACGACGGGUAGCCGGCCUGAGAGGGCGACCGGCCACACUGGGACUGAGACACGGCCCAGACUCCUACGGGAGGCAGCAGUGGGGAAUAUUGCACAAUGGGCGAAAGCCUGAUGCAGCGACGCCGCGUGAGGGAUGACGGCCUUCGGGUUGUAAACCUCUUUCAGCAGGGAAGAAGCGCAAGUGACGGUACCUGCAGAAGAAGCGCCGGCUAACUACGUGCCAGCAGCCGCGGUAAUACGUAGGGCGCAAGCGUUGUCCGGAAUUAUUGGGCGUAAAGAGCUCGUAGGCGGUCUGUCGCGUCGGAUGUGAAAGCCCGGGGCUUAACCCCGGGUCUGCAUUCGAUACGGGCAGACUAGAGUGUGGUAGGGGAGAUCGGAAUUCCUGGUGUAGCGGUGAAAUGCGCAGAUAUCAGGAGGAACACCGGUGGCGAAGGCGGAUCUCUGGGCCAUUACUGACGCUGAGGAGC
rnacentral:rRNA from 1 species